rnacentral:snoRNA from 1 species
UCUUCGUGAUGAUCUUUACGUUUGGUCCGUGUUUCUGAACACCGUUAACCGAGGCAUGGGCGGCUUAAGA